UUUGUGUUUGAGGUAUAACAAGAAGGUGUUACUUGACUUAUAACUAAACUCAGGUCAAAGAAAAGAUUUCAACAGAGAAAAAGAAUAAAUUCUACAAUCCUAGCAAUCUGUAGUAUUAGAUCUAAAUUACACCUUAAAUUGGAUGCUUGAGAUUGGGAUUACAAGAACAAUAUGGUGGACUGUGGAUCUAUGAUCAGAUUAGUCCCAAAAGAUAAAUAAACAACAGGAAGUAAAGAAGAAACAACAGAAAGCCUGGACAGAGAAUAAAAGAACAGAGUAUAUAAGAGGAUAAGAAUAAAUGGAGAUAAAUAGAAGGAGAGGAAGGGCAGCCAAGCCUGGCUGUAUCUUAAUACUUUUUCUCUACAAAAUAAUUCAUGAUCAAAUCCUCUAACCAGCCAAUUAACUCUAGAAGCCCCCACCCUUUCUACUUUUAAGUCCAGCUACAAUAAUGGAAUAAAAAGAAAACACCCCUGUCGUGCUACAGUAUUCGCCAUAGUAAUGUGCUGUGGUACAUGCUACAGUAAAUAUAUAAAAGACUUUCCAUCAGGUGCCAAUUGCUUUCCUAACUGAAUAUAGUUCGGCUAAUCAAGAGACCCUCUAAACAAUUAAACUACAGAAAGUCAAAGCAGUGACCAUUCUUAGCCAUUGAAUGAAGAUUUGGAAGUAUUCUGCUCUGAUCUUGGUUCCAAAGCCUGGAUAAGGUCCUAAAUCCAUUCUCGAUCAAUUGGCCUCACAGUCAAGUUCAUCCAUGGUCUAACACAGCAAGCUAAAGGUACCAUUGGUUGGUUCUUUCAUUCCCACAAGUGACCAUAAUGCACCUUAAAGUAUUUUCUUUGCUCCUUACCACCAUUGCACCUGCCUUCAGGUUUUAAAAACCUUUCCUCCACGGAAAUUGCAUUGCCUUCCUUUUGCACUUGUUUGACAUACAAAUUUGUGGUCAUUGUCCUUUUGAUAAACAAGGGCAUCGACAUAUUUACUUUCCACCAGUGGUACCUUUUAACCCACUGAAACUAUAACUAGAAAUAUAAACGACAAUACAGCAAAUUGACAACUAAACUUAAAUCUAAGACAAUCCCAAGUCAUGUGGCCCACUGAUGCAUCAUCAGAUGAUCUGGGACCUCUAUCAUGAAUCCUUUCAGCUCAUCUUCCCAUGUUAGCCCUAUCCAUUUAAAUCAUCCACCAUCUAGUUUUUUAUGUCUAUUUGAGUAAUGGUGUCAUUGAAUACAGUGGAAUAGUUAAAGGGGGUCUACUAUCUAUUCCAUUGCUUGUUCUCUAGUUGGUAGGGCCUGACUGAAAAAGGGUGAUGGAUGAUCUAACAGAACCUGGAGGAACUACUAGAUGGAGUGGAUCCUAACAUGGGAGCCUCAUGCAUCUGGGCAAAAUGGAAUAGUGAAGAAGUUAGAUAUUCCUUCCUCCCCCCAAAACACCCACAAACACACACACACCCC
rnacentral:lncRNA from 1 species